GCAGCUCAGUGAUGGGGCAUCUGCUUUGCAAGCAGGAAGUCCCGGGUUCAAUUGCCAGCAUCUCCA